rnacentral:lncRNA from 1 species
ACACAUCUAACCACUCUUCAGCUGAUAUCCACUUGCUGACAAAUGAAUCUCUCUGGCCCCUGGACUGUGCCCUGAAACACAGCUUAAAACAGCAGAAUGAACAGUAAUCCCAGAGAUCCUGAGAUGAGAAAAGGGUGUUUGACUUAUUCAAAGAAGACCAAGGAAGCCCAAAGACCAGAGAAGAGUGCAGGAAAGGGGCGGCGGUCUGAGAUGCAGUCAGAGCAGUGGCAAGCCCCCAGAGUCUGUGGCAAAGACUUCAGGUUUCAUCCUGAAGAGGAAGACAGGUCUUUGGAGAGUUUUGAUCAAGGAAGUGAGAUGAAAUAUCUUAGGCUUACAAAGAACUACUCUGACAUCUAAAUGGAAAAUGGACUGAUGAAGCAAAAGAAGCCACAAGGAAGCCAGUUCAGAGGCUAUUGAAAUGCUCCAGAUACUCAGAGAGUGAGAGCCUUCAGAUUUGGGCCGCUGUGGUUCGUCUUCUGCCUGGGAACUGGAUAAAAACAUCAGUGAAUACCCCAAAGAUUUUCAAAAAUGCUUGUUGAUAAAAUGAAGUCAGAAUGUGAGAUGAGCCCUUCCACCUGAGUGAUGUUGGUCUUGGCUGUGUGAUUUGCUUUGGCUGAUGAUAAGUUGAUGGAAGUGAUAGUAAGACAAUGCUGAGCCUCAUCCUCGGAAGUAUCUCUGCCUUCACCUGGCUUUGUGCACCACUGCCCUGGCUUUGAGAAGAACAUGAGCCCAGUAAAUUGUUAGUCCAGGAAGAAUGAGAGAGAAAGUCCUGAGGCAGAGAAGUGGAGAGAAGUUGCUGCUUGAGCUUGAGAAAGAAUGGUGGCAGAGUACAUGCAUGGAAGUGCUACCAUAGCUGCUCUGAAAUCAGAGGAAAGUGGAAUUAUAAGAAGACCCCAUCUGACAAGGCUCAUAAAGGAGAGCAACUCUUAUGGAAUACAUCCAAGAUAUAUACGUCUUUGAAGAAAGACAUCACUCAACUGUGAAAGAUCACCAUGACCCCUGCUUUAAUUUCAUCAAAAAACUUAGUCCAUCAGCUCAGUUACCCUUUAGCCUUGCAUGGGAAUUGACUCAGAGCUUCUGCAAGAUCAGGCCCUAUAUUAGGUAUUGAGGGUUCAGGGAUGAACUAAGCUGAUCUGGUUCCUGCUCUCUAGGCUGUAGAAGAUGGCAAGUGCUGUGGACUUCAAAGAAAAGAUUUCUGAAGUGUCAUGUUAUGACAAUUGUGAUGCUUCAAACUAUGUUGACUAUUCAUUUACAGCAUAAAGAAGAGUGAGCCACUUUAUCACUGCAGUAAUUAUAUUUUAAAAAUAAAGAAAAUAAAACAAAUGGAGUUUCCCACCCAAUCCAUGGAGACACAGACACGAAGUCUUACUAUAGAUGUGUGGCCAAUCCUUACAUUGCUUUUAUUACAAGCCUGGAAAUGACAAUAAAAUACAUGAACUUGAGAGUAUAUA